CGGCGGUGUGGUGAAGGUCAUCGCCGCCGGUGCCAUCGCCGCCGGUGCCGAGGUCCAGGUGGGUGCCGGUGGCGCAGUGUCCACCGCGGCCGCC
rnacentral:tRNA from 1 species